GAAACACAGAUGUUAGGGAUACAAGAUGCUUUUUGUACACCAGGGAUGAGUAGCCAAAGGCUCUCUGUUGGAAUGACACCCAAAACACUACGGCUUCCGAAGCCUGGAGAGAUGCUUCUAUCUGUCCGUGGUUCGCCACUUGGUGUUUACAAGGAAGACAACAUGGAAGCUAUACAUGAGUAUGAAGAGAGUUAACUGGAGAUUGCUGAAGUAGUCAAAUCAUGAUUCAGUGUUCUACUGGUGCUACUGAAUUAUUUGUAUUAAGUAAGAUUUAUGUAAAAAUUUGGUAAAAGCCUGUUCUUAAUCUGAUGAUACAAUGUAAAUUUCAUCCAUGUGGUCGUAUAGUUUAGUUUUGGGAGUUCCAAAAAAAUGGUGCUAUUCUGAUUAGCCAAAAUAAUUUUACAUAUAAAUAUAUUUAAGUCUUAAUUAUUCACGAA